GAACACCCUCUAAAACCUAACCACAAAUUCAGCAAAUUAAUGGAGCAAUUGAUGGUUGAUCUAGUGCAUGAACAUCAAUCUUUGAUCACCUCUACUUGCUAAGCAUAAGGACGGAAAUCUUGUCAAUUGACUCAAGCAUGGAUGGCUAUCGGGUCAAGAGGAAGCACGGAGGCAAGCAUGAACAUGGAUGCUAAAGGAAAUUAACGAUCUGGCGCGGUAUGGCUUGUUUUCCGCUGCAUAAGUCACCAGGGUCAUCCAAGGUUCGGGGAAAUGUGACUCUUUCCUGGACAAGUCACAGUCCUUGAAUCGUGUUUAUGUUAUGUUUAUGGUUGUAAUGUUUAAACAAGUUAUGGUUGUUGGGUGUUAACCCGUUAAGACAAUGUUUAAUAUUUAUUUAUCAAUGGAUGAUCUUGCAUAUUU
rnacentral:lncRNA from 1 species